UACGGAGGGUGCAAGCGUUAUCCGGAUUCACUGGGUUUAAAGGGUGCGUAGGUGGAUUGGUAAGUCAGUGGUGAAAUCUCCGGGCUUAACCCGGAAACUGCCAUUGAUACUAUCAGUCUUGAAUACCGUGGAGGUCAGUAGAAUAUGUCAUGUAGCGGUGAAAUGCUUAGAUAUGACAUAGAAUACCAAUUGCGAAGGCAGCUCGCUGGGACGGUACUGACGCUGAGACGCGAAAGCGUGGGGAGCAAACAGG
rnacentral:rRNA from 1 species